UGCUAAUGCAGAACCCCAUAGGAUGUUUUUGUGUUGGUUAAGGGCAGUCAGGUCUGGAGAGAACCAAGGGCUAUAUCUGUUCCUGGUUCUAAAUUUCUAAAUUUCUUCAUCAAAUGACGAUGGAAACUGUGUUUUUUGAAUAAAUUAUGAUUGACAAAUAAUUUUGAAGGUACGCAGGGCACAUGAUGUCACUGCAUAACUAUAAAGCUCACUCCACAAUAGAUACCGCAUUUAAAACAACUGGGACCUCGGAAAAAUAGGUCAAAUCAUGACAUUAGUGAUCCUCAGGUCAGAAAGUCAGAGUUCUAGAAAGAGGCCAGAGUUUCCGAGUCGGAUGGCUGUACAAAUUUCAAUUUUUUUUGCCCAGUUAGAGCUUGUUUUUCCCCCCCAGAGUUCCCAGUUUCGCACUGAAGUCUGCUAUUUCGGAGUUCCGAGCUUCCAGUUGUUUUGAAUGCGGCAUAAUUGUAAAUGCCUAGGUCUUGCGAAAAACUAUUUUAUUUUUUUCAACUACAAGCAUUUUUCUUUGCAGGGAAGUGUUGUCCUGACUUUCAAGAAUGCCUGAAUUGCUUCGCCUUGCUUUUCUGGUUGGCUGGCAAGUUUCACCUCGCAAUUAUUUCAGAUCUACAGGAGUGCAAGUCUCACCAUGGCACAGUCCAUGGGCGAUACGAUGGCACAUGAUGAUUAUAAGAAUAUGGCAAAUAUUAGUCAUUUAUUACAUUCUAUCCAUGCUGGCUUUCGCGGACUACCUGAGACAUGAAACAGAUAGGUGGGAGGGAAAUGUAUUGAUACCCAAUUUGCCUAAAGGGGUAAUGAAAACACUUCAACCACAACAUUUUUAUUCAACACUAGGUUUUUGCGUCAACUUAUUUUUUAGGUGUGGUAUCAUUAUGUCCAGCUGUUUUCAUCGACACAAGAUGGUUCAAUGGAAACGCACCCUAAGCAGGCAAUUGUCACAUGUAUUUUCUAUGCAAACUUUCUAAAUCGAGAAAUCACUGGACAAGUUAAUGGAAACAGCUGGUGACCUCAAGCAGCACCUGUGUGAGCGUUCUGUCCUGUGUGAUUGUGACAUCAUAAAGAACUCCUCUGUGAUUGACUCCAUACAGAACUCCUGUGCUAUUGUAACAUCACAAUGCGAUUCUCCCUUUGUUGCUUAGACCAGUGAGUGUCUGAGCUGUGGAGUCGUUGUAGAUCAGGUUUGUCAUGUCUCUGUCCACAACGGACUCCAGCUGAACCGCUCUCACGUAACAUUGCCUUCUGCUCGUGUGUUCGUCUGUGUGUUUACUAAACAAAGUCUGUACUCGGGCUUCAUCUCUUCCCAAUGCUUUAUUUGUCCCAUUUUUGUCAGAAAGGCUCAGUCAAUGUUGGCACUGCAGUUCUCUGACUGUCAACUAGAGAGCAGUGUAGCUUGUCAGAGCCUGUCAGGAUGUGGGCCAAAAUAAUUAGAACAGAACAUGGAUCACAGGCCAGUUUGGUGUUUCUGUUAUCGCAUUGAGAGAGCUGUCAGUGUUUGUGCAGCUGGGAGUGAAAUCAAUAUUCACAAGGAGCAGCAAUGUGUGUGUGUGUGUGUGUGUGCGUGCGCACGCACACUUUUGAGUUGUGUGUGUGUGUGCCUUCUCAUUAAAAGAGGAUACAAAUCACUUUUGAAAAAUAUAUUUUAAUGUGAUCUAUUCAACAAAUACACAUGGAAGCAGCUCACACAACACGCUGAUGAAGGCUGUAAAGCCGAAACGUCUGUGUACCCUAUCCCUGAUGCAGUGAAAAUAAUUAAAAACAUUGAGUAAUGAAGUAAGCAUUAUGCAACAUCCUUUUUGAGUGUGGACCCAUCACAUUCCCCUUUUGUUUGAGCAGCUCACACUAUGGAAAGUAUUUUAUCAACACACACACACACACACACUGCUGUUUUCAGCCACUCCAGAUUUAACCUUUUCAGGCAUACUCUUCCAGUGGAUACUAUUUCCAGAUGCUGCCUGCCUGGGGUUGUUUGUGCAUCUUGGUGAGCUGCUAAGUGCAAAUGGUGUAGUGUUUUAAGGUGAUGAACAGGGGUUGUCCUAAUAACCUUUAAACUGUCAGAUGGACCUGUGUGUGUCAAUAUACUGUACCUGGAUUAGAUAGGCCUAGAUGUGUGUGUUUUCUGAGGGUAAUCUACUACAAUGUGAGAAACGCAUCCUUUGGGGUCAUGAUCAGGAGUGUGUGCGUGCAUGAAUACCCCCCCCCUCCCCUGCAUGCAUCAGAUUGAUGUCUUGUGUCUCUCGACAUGUACCUCCUUGACCACCAGCAGUACAGUAGUUGCACUACUGUUCCAAACCAUGCUGCCGAAGGUCAACGGGUGUUUUCUCUCCAUUGUUCUAUGGAAGGAGCACAGAAUUCCCCAAAACAACAUCCAAGGUCUUUUCAAACCAAAUUGAAGCCAAGUUGUUUUAGUUUGGGAGUCGGCAACAGAGGUAAACGGUUGUCCCGCCCCAACAUCUAUAAUGGAAAGAGAUACACUGCUCUGUGUAUUGACUGAGUCAGUAGUGGUUGGACAUUGUCAACAGGGGGACGUCACUUUUAUAUUGUUCACUGUAAAAGUCCCCUGGCACAAGUACAGUAUUAACGGCUGGCUGGUUGUGUCUGUCUUUGCAGAGUCAUAAAUGACUGAUUUAUCAAGUCUAAUGACACAGCGGUCAGGUGAUUGGCCGCCUCAGGCUUCCACAGGUUGUGAUUGGCUAUGUCAGGGCGAGGUGUGACUUUCAUCAGAUACCUUUUAUUGUUCUCGAUAGAUUACGUGCAUCCUGCAUGCGUGGAUACAGCAGACGUUGUAUUGAACCCAGGUUGCCAAUGUGACUUGGACUGUACUAGCCCUCUGAGCUAAAGCCUAGGUGACCCACGCCACCUCCUCUACACAUGUACAUACGUUUAUUUGCUCAGACAUAAACCUCUGCUCUGUAUGCAAGGCCCUACAACAGAAAUGGGUUACUGAACAAAUGAAUCAAACCCUGGUAUGAGCUGGUUCCAGAGAGGAAAUCGACCAGGAACGGCUUUCACAGUUUUACUGCACCCUCUUGCAUCAGACUUUGGGUUAGUGGACUUCCCUGUUUAUCUGACCACAGUGAUAGCGUCAGAUACCCAUUUGUACCCCACAGCCUUCCAUCAAUCAGGCUUUGGAUAACCACUGUUUACUGUUUAUCUGGUCACAAUGUUAGUUAGUCAGUGUUCCUUGUGUUAAUCAUUACCUCCGAACCUGAUUACUCACACAAGCACACGUUUGUUUUAAUGUCCUUGUCGGUCUAAACAAUUGUUUCCCAUUUAAAAUAUCAGUUUCCCUAAGCCUUACCCCUAAUUCUAACCCUAAGCAUUAAAUUGCCUUUUCCCUUGUGGGGACCUGUGAAAUGUCCCCAUUUUGUAUAGAUGUUCCUUGUUUUACUAUCAUUGUCAGGACGUCUGGUCCCUACAAGGAUAGUAAAACCAAAAAAACACACACUUGAGUCUAUGUCCCAAUACUUAAACUUCUCAGAACAUGCAGCCAGGUGACCUGAUAUGAGGGACUAGAACAUACAGCCAGGUGAUAUGAGGGACUAGAACAUACAGCCAGGUGAUAUGAGGGACUAGAACAUACAGCCAGGUGAUAUGAGGGACUAGAACAUACAGCCAGGUGAUAUGAGGAGGGACUAGAACAUACAGCCAGGUGAUAUGAGGAGGGACUAGAACAUAACAGCCAGGUGAUAUGAGGAGGGACUAGAACAUAACAGCCAGGUGAUAUGAGGAGGGACUAGAACAUAACAGCCAGGUGAUAUGAGGAGGGACUAGAACAUAACAGCCAGGUGAUAUGAGGAGGGACUAGAACAUAACAGCCAGGUGAUAUGAGGAGGGACUAGAACAUAACAGCCAGGUGACAUGAGGAGGGACUAGAACAUAACAGCCAGGUGACAUGAGGAGGGACUAGAACAUAACAGCCAGGUGACAUGAGGGGGACUAGAACAUAACAGCCAGGUGACGUGAUAUGAGGAGGGACUAGAACAUAACAGCCAGGUGACGUGAUAUGAGGAGGGACUAGAACAUAACAGCCAGGUGACGUGAUAUGAGGGGGACUAGAACAUAACAGCCAGGUGACGUGAUAUGAGGGGGGACUAGAACAUAACAGCCAGGUGACGUGAUAUGAGGAGGGACUAGAACAUAACAGCCAGGUGACGUGAUAUGAGGAGGGACUAGAACAUAACAGCCAGGUGACGUGAUAUGAGGAGGGACUAGAACAUAACAGCCAGGUGACGUGAUAUGAGGAGGGACUAGAGCUAAAGAAAGGAAACAAUUGUAUGAGUGUAACCGAUUUGUACCAGUCAGGCCCUCCAUUCUCUGUAAGCAGUUUUGUGAGAGGUUUUAUUUCAAUAGUUUAGUCCUGGAAAAACAAGGAGAGAUGAGGUUAGAAAUAGCUGCUGGGACUGUUAAAGACCUCCCUGUUGUAUUCAGGUAAUGUUUACCUUCAUUUUACCAGGAAAUUUAAAGCAUUAUACCAGUUUCUUAAAGUGGAACUGACAGCAUUUUAGCAACAUGAAAUCUUAAAACCUGUUCAUAGACAUCUCAGGAAGAUUAAAAAUAAAAAUAAAACAUUUUCUGACAAGCAAGCACUUAUGGUCGUUUUCACGUUUCAUUAAUUCUUAGAAUGUUUUUUAUAUUUUUAUUUUACCUUUUAUUUAACCAGGCAAGUCAGUUAAGAACAAAUUCUUAUUUUCAAUGAC